rnacentral:rRNA from 1 species
GUUCAGGAUGAACGCUGGCGGCGUGUCUAAGGCAUGCAAGUCGAACGCAUUCUGUAGCAAUACAGGGUGAGUGGCAAACGGGUGAGUAACACAUUGGUAACCUACCUCCAACUCGGACAUAACGCGGAGAAAUCUGCGCUAAUAUCCGAUGGACUCCCAUCUCGCAAGGGUUUGGGAGUAAAGGCGCAAGUCGGUUGGAGAGGGGCCUAUGGCCUAUCAGCUAGUUGGCGGGGUAAAAGCCCACCAAGGCAACGACGGGUAGCGGGUGUGAGAGCACGACCCGCCUCACGGGCACUGAAAUACUGGCCCGACUCCUACGGGAGGCUGCAGUCAAGAAUCUUCCCCAAUGGACGAAAGUCUGAGGGAGCGACGCCGCGUGCAGGAUGGAGCUCUUCGGAGUGUAAACUGCUUUUAUCUGGGACGAACACAUGACGGUACCAGAAGAAUAAGGACCUGCUAAACUCGUGCCAGCAGCCGCGGUAAUACGAGUGGUCCAAGCGUUAUCCGGAUUUAUUGGGCGUAAAGAGUCUGUAGGCGUCCUGGUGCAUCUUCUGUUAAAUGCUGAAGCUUAACUUCAGCGCUGCGGGAGAGAUGGUCAGGAUUGAGGCCGGAAGAGGUAUGCGGAACUGUCGGUGUAGUAGUAAAAUGCGUUAAUAUCGGCAGGAACACCAAAGGCGAAAGCAGCAUACUGGUACGGAUCUGACGCUGAGAGACGAAAGCGUGGGGAGCGAAGCGGAUUAGAUACCCGCGUAGUCCACGCCGUAAACGAUGGAUACUAGACAUUGGGAGUAUCGACCCUCCCAGUGUCGUUUAUCAAAGGUAACCCCUUAAGUAUCCCGCCUGGGGAGUACGGCCGCAAGGCUAAAACUCAAAGGAAUUGACGGGAACCCGCACAAGCGGUGGAGCAUGUGGUUCAAUUCGACAAUAAGCGAGGAACCUUACCAGGGCUUGACAUGAUGCUGCAAGCGCACGGAAACGUGUGACCUUCGAGGGUGCAUCACAGGUGCUGCAUGGUUGUCGUCAGCUCGUGCCGUAAGGUGUACAGUUAAGUCUGGAAACGAGCGCAACCUCUAUUGCCAGUUAUACGUAUCUGGCGAGACUGCCCCCCACAAGGGGGAGGAAGGUGGAGAUGACGUCAAAUCAGCAUGGCUCUUACGUCCUGGGCUACACACGUGCUACAAUGGGGUGCAACAAUGGGCCGCCAACCCGUAAGGGGGAGCUAAUCCCAUCAAACCACCCCCCAGUUCAGAUUGAGGGCUGCAACUCGCCCUCAUGAAGCAGGAAUCGCUAGUAAUCGCGGAUCAGCCUCGCCGCGGUGAAUACGUUCUCGGGUUUUGUACACACCGCCCGUCACGUCAAGGGAGCCGAUAAUACC